AACGAACGCUGGCGGCAGGCCUAACACAUGCAAGUCGAACGCUCUAGCAAUAGAGAGUGGCAGACGGGUGAGUAACGCGUGGGAAACUUCCUAGGGGUACGGAAUAGCUCAGGGAAACUUGGGGUAAUACCGUAUGAUGCCGUAAGGCCAAAGAUUUAUCGCCCUUAGAUGGUGCCCGCGUCGGAUUAGCUAGUUGGUGAGGUAAUGGCUCACCAAGGCGACGAUCCGUAGCUGGUUUGAGAGAAUGACCAGCCACACUGGGACUGAGACACGGCCCAGACUCCUACGGGAGGCAGCAGUUGGGAAUCUUGGACAAUGGGCGCAAGCCUGAUCCAGCCAUGCCGCGUGAGUGACGAAGGCCUUAGGGUUGUAAAGCUCUUUUGCCGGGGACGAUAAUGACGGUACCCGGAGAAUAAGUCCCGGCUAACUUCGUGCCAGCCGCCGCCGCGG
rnacentral:rRNA from 1 species